rnacentral:lncRNA from 1 species
GAAAAUCGGACCGCUACCGGCGCUAGGAUCCGGGUCGGCUUAAGGCCACCAAGACCCGUAGCAAGCCUAACAUUCAUCCUGAAAACCUGUUUAAUCCCACACAUGAUCAACAACAUACAUAAAAAUUUAAAACUUUUCUUUCACUCAUAAGCCAAACUCAACCUGCACAUGCACUGAACAUACUCAUAAUCAUAAUCAUGACCCCUCAGUGGGAUCUCAUCAAUGCCCCAAUGGGC